rnacentral:rRNA from 1 species
UACAGAGGGGGCAAGCGUUGUUCGGAAUUACUGGGCGUAAAGGGCGCGUAGGCGGCCUGCUAAGUCGAACGUGAAAUCCCCGGGCUCAACCCGGGAACUGCGUCCGAUACUGGCAGGCUUGAAUCCGGGAGAGGGAUGUGGAAUUCCCAGUGUAGUGGUGAAAUACGUAGAGAUUGGGAAGAACACCAGUGGCGAAGGCGGCUAUCUGGACGGUUUCUGACACUAAGACUCGAAAGCGUGGGGAGCAAACAGG